GCCCCAGUAGCAUAGUCAGGUAAUGCGCCUGCCUCGUAAGCAGGAGAUCGUGGGUUCAAAUCCCACCUGGGGCU
rnacentral:tRNA from 1 species